UACUGUGAAUUAACCAUGCGUUUCCUGUG
rnacentral:piRNA from 1 species